rnacentral:rRNA from 1 species
GCAGGGGCGGGCGAGGCCAGGCCUGGUGAUGACUGCCCCGACGCCCUGGGCGAGACGGGGACCGAGGAGGCCGGCCCAGUCGGCGGAGUUGCAGGGCGCGACGAUGGCGAAGGCAGCCCAGAAGCCAGAGGCGACCGGGCCAGGACGUCGAUCGGCCGUGCAUGAGCACGGAAACCGAGGCCAUGCAGGGGCGCCAUGUGCUCCUCAUGCACAACAGAAGGUGCCGAGGAUGAAGGCGAUGUCGACGAAGAGGAAGAUGGCACUUCCAGAAUCUCCAAACGAGCCCCACGACCAGUGCCUGCACCAUGGUUAGGCAACAAUAGAGGAGAAUAUGCAACAUCAUCAAAUUGGUCAGAAGCAACAGAGGAUGAAUGCAUGACAGGUGGCUCGGUAGUGGACACAUGGGAGUUUGGCAAAGGGAAAAACAUGCUCAUCAAACACAACAUCCCGAGAGAUGUAGACACGAUUUGUGGGCACAUGAAGACAUUUGUAUUCUUUAUGAAGAGAGCUAUAACCAAGAAAAACACACUUCUUGGAACAAAACUCGAGCUUACGCUUGUUAUAUGGACGGAGAUGGGGCCAGCAAGCACACCCAAACACCUUGAGAAAGGUGUAGUCCGGUUGUUCAUUAAGGAGAACUUCAAUGGGAGUCUUCAUAUUCAAAACACGAGUGGGAGUACGAUUGAUGAGAAAACAUGCAGUGGUGAAAGCAUCACUCCAAAAACGAAACAGAACAGAUGCAUGGGCCAAAAGAGUCAGACCAGCUUCAACAAUGUGACGAUGCUUACGUUCUACUGAACCAUUCUGCUGAUGUGUAUGUGGACAUGCUAAACGGUGAGUGAUCCCAAGCGAC